rnacentral:sRNA from 1 species
UUGUGUUAGUGAUUGAGGUGGUAUCCUUUUUUUGCAUUUUUGCAAAAAAAGAUUUAACCGAAAGCACGACCGCUA